AAGGCAUUACAAUCUUACAGCAGCUCAACGAUUCCUCUGUGAAUUGAGAUUGCUCAUCUCAGUUCAGUACCUAGUGGACAGGAAUCCACAUCAUGGAAACCACAAUUGUGUGUGACAUUAACAGGCAACCUUGUUCGUGAUCUCAGCAUGAGAUCAGGGCAGGAAAACUGACCUUCAGAAGAGUCUGUUCCAGCAAGUGAAGAAAUCAAUAAACUCCUCUUGGAAGAGAGAAACCAAAACCAAAUCCCCAGAUCUGAAGAUCACCAAAUUCUGGGGAAGCCUAGUGAUACCAAGAUGGUCCCUUUUCUAUUCUUUGGUAUUUGGGGGCAGUAGCAGAAUCAAUAAAUUAAUUCCUCUAUGCACUGAGCCCAGAAGACAUGGAACAGAUGGCAGAUGAGUUUGGUGGAAGUCAGGGCACAUGGAAGUGGACUGGAAUUAAAGAUGGUGCUGGAUGAAAUGACCCAUCUACCUCCAGUGCAGUCAGGUGUUUUCCUCAAAUGUGAUCUUCAACCAGUGCUGUCUCAAAGAUCUGGCAGUACGCUGCCUUCCCAACCCCCCAUGCUGUUUCUUUCACCCAAGGAAGUACCAUCUCUGAAAAGCCAGUAGGAACAUAGUAGCUUUGGCCAGCUUAACAAGCCCAUUGCUAAUUUAAAGGUGGGGUAAAGAGGGUCAUAGCUGAGCUACCUGCAAGCUAACACCUGGCCUGGCCAGAUCCUCAGCUAGUGUAAAUCAGCAUAAGUCACUGAGGUCAAUGAUGCAUUGAAAUCAAAGGAGCUAUGCUGCUUUACACUUGUUCCCCUAUUUCUUUUAUGAUACCCAUCUCUUCUGGAGCUGAUUCACCCCAUCUCUUAAUGAAAAUAUCCAGGAGGAAAACUGCCCACCUUCUACCUCCAAGCCUAUCACCAAAGUCUCACCCAGCCCAAGAAAACAUUCUUCAAAAAGGUCUGAUUUUCUGUGUACGACCACCUGACACUAAACAUUCAUUCUGUCUGGUGAUUUAUUGAUCCAUACUGGAAAUCAUCAGAAUAGCCAUGUGCCAUCACAGAGACAAACCAUUCAUGUUCUAGUAUACAUUAGCACAGACUUUCCUUGGGGAGUGGUGAGAUGUUGCCAUUCCAUUUCAGCUUUCCCAAUCCCACUGAAGAUUUCAGUUCAAUGGAAAUAUGACAGUUGUCUGCCUUGUGACUCUGACUAAGUGUCAGCAGACCCUGGGCAAAACCUUUUGGAUCUCUGAGGCUGUUGCCCAUCCACAUCACUCCACCAAAUGAUGUCCAAUUCUUAUUGUCCUUGUCAUCGUCCUGUUCUCCUCCCUCUGUUCAUCAAACCCAGAGGAAAUUGGAGAUAAGACUGAGUUCAGUCAUUUCAACAUGGACAAAGAGUUUGUGCAUUGUCUCUGCAAAAUAAAU